GAGGAAGGUGGGUAUGUUAAUAGCAUACUCAUUUUGACGUUAGCUGCAGAAGAAGCACCGGCUAACUCCGUGCCAGCAGCCGCGGUAAUACGGGAGGGUGCGAGCGUUAAUCGGAAUUACUGGGCGUAAAGCGCAUGCAGGUGGUUUGUUAAGUCAGAUGUGAAAAGCCCGGGGCUCAACCUCGGAAUUGCUAUUUGAAACUGGCAAACUAGAGUACUGUAGAGGGGGGUAGAAUUUCAGGUGUAGCGGUGAAAAUGCGUAGAGAUCUGAAGGAAUACCGGUGGCGAAGGCGGCCCCCUCGGACAGAUACUGACACUCAGAUGCGAAAGCGUGGGGAGCAAACAGGAUUAGAUCCCCUGGUAG
rnacentral:rRNA from 1 species